rnacentral:rRNA from 1 species
AGCAAUCCUGGUGGCGAGUGGCGAACGGGUGAGUAAUACAUCGGAACGUGCCCAGUAGUGGGGGAUAACCCGGCGAAAGCCGGACUAAUACCGCAUACGACCUACGGGUGAAAGCAGGGGACCGCAAGACCUUGCGCUAUUGGAGCGGCCGAUGUCAGAUUAGCUUGUUGGCGGGGUAAAAGCCCACCAAGGCGACGAUCUGUAGCUGGUCUGAGAGGACGACCAGCCACACUGGGACUGAGACACGGCCCAGACUCCUACGGGAGGCAGCAGUGGGGAAUUUUGGACAAUGGGCGCAAGCCUGAUCCAGCCAUGCCGCGUGCGGGAAGAAGGCCUUCGGGUUGUAAACCGCUUUUGUCAGGGAAGAAACGCUCCGGGUUAAUACCCUGGAGUAAUGACGGUACCUAAAGAAUAAGCACCGGCUAACUACGUGCCAGCAGCCGCGGU